UGGAGGGGGAGGGGGACUGGUCUGCUGAUUACCCAUCUGUAAAAUGGGAUGAAAAGGAGAACUUUGAUGAUCCCCAGGUGAAUCAAUACUAUAGAAGCAUAACCGCCCACCAACCCUCUGCUCCCUCUCAGGGUAUAGAAUCCUGUAGACACCCUCCUCCCCAACCAGCUGGUGCUGCCGUCCCCAGCACAUGGUAGGAGGGAGCAAGGGAUCCAGAGCGAUGCAGAGCCUCAGGGAACAGAGCAGAGGGGACGAUCCUGCCACCGGCGCAGCAGGGUCCGGAAAUGCACCUGCUUGAAAGGGCACGGGAAGUGCCGGGCGCUGUGACCGCCGCAGGACUGAACAGUUUGGCCAAUGCCUGUUCUCCAUAUGGCGAUAACACCCCAGCUGCUGCCUCUUCUCCGAGAUGAGGCACUUCUCGAACUGAAACAAAAACCUUCAGUGAAGGUUCAGCUCUUCCCAGCAUGGAAAAAAGCCCAGUUUCCAGUCCACAAACCGCUUAGAUGGGAAAUUCCUGCCCUGCCCUCUCACUGGAUGUCCUGCAGCUGGUCUGAGCUUGGAGCCGGGCAGGGAUGACGGUGCAGGCUGUUGUGAGAAGCCCCUUGUUUUGGGGUCUCAAGUGCA